GAUGAACGCUAGCUACAGGCUUAACACAUGCAAGUCGAGGGGCAGCAGGGAUUUAGCUUGCUAAAUUCGCUGGCGACCGGCGCACGGGUGCGUAACGCGUAUCCAACCUUCCCGUUACUCUGGGAUAGCCUUCCGAAAGGGAGAUUAAUACCUGAUGGUGUUGAAAUUCCGCAUGUUAUUUCAACUAAAGAUUUAUCGGUAACGGAUGGGGAUGCGUGACAUUAGAUAGUAGGCGGGGUAACGGCCCACCUAGUCUACGAUGUCUAGGGGUUCUGAGAGGAAGGUCCCCCACACUGGAACUGAGACACGGUCCAGACUCCUACGGGAGGCAGCAGUGAGGAAUAUUGGUCAAUGGCCGGAAGGCUGAACCAGCCAAGUAGCGUGAAGGAUGAAGGUUCUAUGGAUUGUAAACUUCUUUUAUACGGGAAUAAAACCACCUACGUGUAGGUGCUUGUAUGUACCGUAUGAAUAAGCAUCGGCUAACUCCGUG
rnacentral:rRNA from 1 species